UGGAGGACCGAACCGACUAAUGUUGAAAAAUUAGCGGAUGACCUGUGGCUGGGGGUGAAAGGCCAAUCAAACCGGGAGAUAGCUGGUUCUCCCCGAAAGCUAUUUAGGUAGCGCCUCGUGAAUUCAUCUCCGGGGGUAGAGCACUGUUUCGGCUAGGGGGCCAUCCCGGCUUACCAACCCGAUGCAAACUGCGAAUACCGGAGAAUGUUAUCACGGGAGACACACGGCGGGUGCUAACGUCCGUCGUGAAGAGGGAAACAACCCAGACCGCCAGCUAAGGUCCCAAAGUCAUGGUUAAGUGGGAAACGAUGUGGGAAGGCCCAGACAGCCAGGAUGUUGGCUUAGAAGCAGCCAUCAUUUAAAGAAAGCGUAAUAGCUCACUGGUCGAGUCGGCCUGCGCGGAAGAUGUAACGGGGCUAAACCAUGCACCGAAGCUGCGGCAGCGAACGUAUCACCCAAGACAACUUUACGGAGUUGACGAUUGACGGAGCGAAGCGACGUCAAAGCGUUCAUUAAAGUCGAGUUGGCUUAGGGAUACGUUCGUUGGGUAGGGGAGCGUUCUGUAAGCCUGUGAAGGUGUGUCGUGAGGCAUGCUGGAGGUAUCAGAAGUGCGAAUGCUGACAUAAGUAACGAUAAAGCGGGUGAAAAGCCCGCUCGCCGGAAGACCAAGGGUUCCUGUCCAACGUUAAUCGGGGCAGGGUGAGUCGACCCCUAAGGCGAGGCCGAAAGGCGUAGUCGAUGGGAAACGGGUUAAUAUUCCCGUACUUGGUGUUACUGCGAAGGGGGGACGGAGAAGGCUAUGUUGGCCGGGCGACGGUUGUCCCGGUUUAAGCGUGUAGGUGUGUGUUCCAGGUAAAUCCGGUUCACUUUAACACUGAGGCGUGACGACGAGGCACUACGGUGCUGAAGCAACAAAUGCCCUGCUUCCAGGAAAAGCCUCUAAGCAUCAGGUAACAUCAAAUCGUACCCCAAACCGACACAGGUGGUCAGGUAGAGAAUACCAAGGCGCUUGAGAGAACUCGGGUGAAGGAACUAGGCAAAAUGGUGCCGUAACUUCGGGAGAAGGCACGCUGACACGUAGGUGAAGUGAUUUACUCAUGGAGCUGAAGUCAGUCGAAGAUACCAGCUGGCUGCAACUGUUUAUUAAAAACACAGCACUGUGCAAACACGAAAGUGGACGUAUACGGUGUGACGCCUGCCCGGUGCCGGAAGGUUAAUUGAUGGGGUCAGCGCAAGCGAAGCUCCUGAUCGAAGCCCCGGUAAACGGCGGCCGUAACUAUAACGGUCCUAAGGUAGCGAAAUUCCUUGUCGGGUAAGUUCCGACCUGCACGAAUGGCGUAAUGAUGGCCAGGCUGUCUCCACCCGAGACUCAGUGAAAUUGAACUCGCUGUGAAGAUGCAGUGUACCCGCGGCAAGACGGAAAGACCCCGUGAACCUUUACUAUAGCUUGACACUGAACAUUGAGCCUUGAUGUGUAGGAUAGGUGGGAGGCUUUGAAGUGUGGACGCCAGUCUGCAUGGAGCCGACCUUGAAAUACCACCCUUUAAUGUUUGAUGUUCUAACGUGGACCCGUAAUCCGGGUUGCGGACAGUGUCUGGUGGGUAGUUUGACUGGGGCGGUCUCCUCCUAAAGAGUAACGGAGGAGCACGAAGGUUGGCUAAUCCUGGUCGGACAUCAGGAGGUUAGUGCAAUGGCAUAAGCCAGCUUGACUGCGAGCGUGACGGCGCGAGCAGGUGCGAAAGCAGGUCAUAGUGAUCCGGUGGUUCUGAAUGGAAGGGCCAUCGCUCAACGGAUAAAAGGUACUCCGGGGAUAACAGGCUGAUACCGCCCAAGAGUUCAUAUCGACGGCGGUGUUUGGCACCUCGAUGUCGGCUCAUCACAUCCUGGGGCUGAAGUAGGUCCCAAGGGUAUGGCUGUUCGCCAUUUAAAGUGGUACGCGAGCUGGGUUUAGAACGUCGUGAGACAGUUCGGUCCCUAUCUGCCGUGGGCGCUGGAGAACUGAGGGGGGCUGCUCCUAGUACGAGAGGACCGGAGUGGACGCAUCACUGGUGUUCGGGUUGUCAUGCCAAUGGCACUGCCCGGUAGCUAAAUGCGGAAGAGAUAAGUGCUGAAAGCAUCUAAGCACGAAACUUGCCCCGA
rnacentral:rRNA from 1 species